CUUUUGGAAUCACCUAGGAGACUCACCUCCAGGUGAAUCUGUGAGGAUGUUUUUAGAGAGAUUUAAGUGAGCAGGAAAGUCUCCCUGGAGGUCAGAGCUACUGAGGCAAUGUUCAGUGAGACUUAGUAAGAAGACAAUGAGACAGCCAAGAUCUCCUGAUGUGAAAAGCGAUACAUCACUUAAUUUCCAGAGACCACUACAGCACUUCCUCUGGGUUGGUGGCCAGCCCAACUGUCAUCAGAGAAGCUUCACCCAGCAACUGAUGAAAAUAGACACAGAGACUUACAGCCAAGCCUUGGUCAGAACUUGGGGAAUCCUGCAGAGGAAGUGGAGGAAAGAUUGUAGGAGCCAGUGGAAUCAAGGGCAUCAAAAGAAAACUCAUAGAAUAAAUUAACCUGGGCUCAUAGGGGCUCACAGAGACUGAACUGACAACCAGGGAGCCUGAAUGAGACUGACCUAGGCCCUCCAUAUAUAUGUGACAACUGUGUAGUUUGGUCUUCCUGUGAGACUCCUAACAGUGAGAGGAGGGGCUGUCUCUGAUUCUGUUGCCUGCUUUGGGGACCCCUUCCCACUACAGGACUGCCUCAUGUGGCUUUAAUAGAAGAGGAGGUACCUGUUCUCACUGCAACUUGAUAUGCCAUGUCUGGUUAAUAUCCAUGGGAAGCCUGCCUAUAUUUGAGGAGAAACA